rnacentral:rRNA from 1 species
UACGUAGGGCGCAAGCGUUGUCCGGAAUUAUUGGGCGUAAAGAGCUCGUAGGCGGCCAGUUGCGUCUGCUGUGAAAUCCCGGGGCUCAACCCCGGGCGUGCAGUGGAUACGGGCUGGCUAGAGGCAGGCAGGGGAGAACGGAAUUCCCGGUGUAGCGGUGAGAUGCGCAGAUAUCGGGAGGAACACCGGUGGCGAAGGCGGUUCUCUGGGCCUGUACUGACGCUGAGGAGCGAAAGCGUGGGGAGCAAACAGG